AUCUGCGAAUCCAACCAAGCCUUAGUCCCCAGAAGCCCAUCGAGACCGUCUUCACGCGUGCGACCCGGCGUUUCCUCUGCCGCCGGGCGCUUGCCGGCCGCCGCCGCCGCCGUCGCCGGGUCGCCUCGUCCUGGUUCCUGGUGUAUCCCCUGUCCAUCAGGCUAUAUGCUGCAAAAUGGCGCAACCUUCUGUCAUCCUAGCAACCGCAAGUUAUGAUCACACAAUCAGAUUUUGGGAAGCCAAGAGUGGUCGCUAUUACUGCACGAUUCAAUACCCUGACUCUCAAGUUAAUCGCCUUGAGAUAACCCCAGACAAGAGAUUUUUAGCUGCUGCUGGCAAUCCUCAUAUCCGCCUUUUGACGUCAACUCAAAUAGCCCUCAACCGGUAAUUAGCUAUGAUUCGCAUACUAGUAAUGUGAUGGCCGUGGGUAUUCCAUUGUGAUGGCAAUUGGAUGCACUCUGGUUCUGAGGAUGGUACUGUGAGAAUCUGGGAUUUACGGACUUUGGCCAAGGACCCAAGGUAAUCGUCAACCGGACCAAGAUCCUGUGUUGCGGGUUUAUGGCAGGAGAUUCAAAUGAUUAGUAGAUCCUUUACUUAUGUAAUCUCCUCUUUUGUUAAGCUUGAGGCAAACUUGUUAGCACGCUGUUGUGCUUAAAAGUCCUCACCGGGGAGUCGCGUGUGUACCUGGGUUAACGAGAUCCGGACUGAGUUGUGGAAUUAGCUACCAAGGAUUCACUUUGUAGGAACAAUGCUUGUAAUCUUCUGCCUAGUUUAGGCCAUAAUCAACACGCAACUGUCGCCUGAGACAAAGGGCAACGUUCCCCGCAAAAGAAAAAAAAGAGGUCUUUAGCUUCAUCUUGGUGAUGAUUAUACCACCUCCGUAUCAAAAUAUUUGUCGUUGUUGACUUUUGGUCACGACGCUCGACUAUUCAUCUUAUUAAAAAUAUUAUAUGUGUCAUUUAUUUUAUUUGUGGCUUACUCUUAUUUUAAGCAUGACUUAUCUUUUUUACAUUUGCAAUAAAUUUUUGAAUAAAAUGAACGGUCAAACGUUGCAUGAAAAAGUCAACAACGACAAAUAUUUCGAUACGAUGGUUGUCAAUAUCUCAAUUAUGCCAUCCGAUCUUGAAACUUCACAAUCAGAAUCGGUGCGCUUGGUUGCGUAUUUUUCAUGAUGAUCCUGCCGAUUGCGAUCCUACCUAAACACCUUCCAUUCAACUUAAAAUCUAGGACUUUGAGACAAGACGACUCAUACACACAGCUUCGGACCAACGUGUGGUAAUAGUAGUAGCCCUGCUCAUCGGUUUGAAAAAAAACCGACUGCCGGACCGUACCCGGUCCGGAUGGAACCGUCAUCCUGGUGCCUGACAUGGUUUGGGUUCGGACCGCUCUGAACCCGGACAAAAUAAGGAGAAAAUUGUCGGUUUGCGGGUUCUACCCGGAAAACCCGGCGGCGGCGGCGGCGGCGGUGGCGAAGCGGCCGCGUGACGGCAUGGCUCGAGGCUUGAGAUGGAGUGGGGCGCAGGCGGCCGAAGCAUCACGAGAGUAGUGGCGGAGGUUUCCUGUCUCGCUAGGUGGACGAGGACUCACCCUAGCGUCUCGCAACGGAUCUCGACGCUAACAUCUGAAGCUUUCAAGGUUCUCUCUCAGCUCUCGAUCCGACUGAACUGAACAAGCAGAUUUGACUGACUUGGAAGCAUAAUAUUUUCAUUCAAGUAUGUCAAAAAUUCAUGGUGUUGCCAAACCAAAGGCUGCAACAUCUGGCUUGGUCUAUCAGUUUGACGUUUUCUUGGAUCUCAUUUUAAUGUUAAUCACGAGCUGCUCGGCCAAUUCAUUUCUUUUUUGCUUUUUGUUUAUUCAUGAUAGUGUAUAGCUGCAGUUGUAAAGCAGCUGCCCUAGUCUUCCUGCACAGACAUAUGUAUUUUAGAGAAUUUCUACAAAAAAUGUACCAUUUUAGGCAAUGAAUUCUAGAUGUUUUUGGAGAGCUCAAAGCCAUGUUCAUAAUU